rnacentral:tRNA from 2 species
GGGUAGGUAGCGAAGUGGUUAAACGCGACAGACUGUAAAUCUGUUUGGCUCAGCCAUACGGAGGUUCGAAUCCUUCCCUGCCCA